rnacentral:rRNA from 1 species
ACCACAACGGGUGGAGCUUGCGGUUUAAUUGGAUUCAACGCCGGAAAUCUUACCGGGACCGACAGCAAUAUGAAGGCCAGGCUGAAGACUUUGCCGGAUUAGCUGAGAGGUGGUGCAUGGCCGUCGUCAGUUCGUACUGUGAAGCAUCCUGUUAAGUCAGGCAACGAGCGAGACCCACGCCCACAGUUGCCAGCGUACUCUCCGGAGUGACGGGUACACUGUGGGGACCGCCGCUGCUAAAGCGGAGGAAGGAAUGGGCAACGGUAGGUCAGUAUGCCCCGAAUAUCCCGGGCUACACGCGAGCUACAAUGGUUGGUACAAUGGGUAUCUACCCCGAAAGGGGAUGGAAAUCUCCUAAAGCCAAUCUUAGUCCGGAUUGAGGGCUGCAACUCGCCCUCAUGAAGCUGGAAUCCGUAGU